GUCGAGAAUCUUUCACAAUGGGGGCAACCCUGAUGGAGCGACGCCGCGUGGAGGAUAAGGUCUUCGGAUUGUAAACUCCUGUCAUGCGUGAACAAGGUUGCUUGGUUAAUACCUGGGCAAAUUGAUGGUAACGCAAGAGGAAGAGACGGCUAACUCUGUGCCAGCAGCCGCGGUAAUACAGAGGUCUCAAGCGUUGUUCGGAAUCACUGGGCGUAAAGGGUGCGUAGGUGGCGUGGUAAGUCAGAUGUGAAAGCCCGGGGCACAACCUCGGAACUGCAUCCGAUACUGCCAUGCUAGAGUACUGGAGAGGUGACUAGAAUUCUCGGUGUAGCAGUGAAAUGCGUAGAUAUCGAGAGGAAUACCAAAGGCGUAGGCAGGUCACUGGACAGUUACUGACACUGAGGCACGAAGGCCAGGGGAGCGAACGGGAUUAGAUACCCCUGUAGUCC
rnacentral:rRNA from 1 species